GAGGGUCAGGCUGCUGCCGGUGUGGGCUGUCCGUCACCUGGCGGGGCUGGCUGCGUCUGCCUUGCAGAGUCCAGCCUGGCAGCAGGGGUGGGGUGGGGUGUGGAGAGAGAGAGGGUCUCGCCCCCUUGCAAGGACUCCUCUCGGCCCCAGGCAGAUGCCUCUCUCUCCCUGGCAGGGAGCCCUCCUCCCGGUUAGGGAGGUUCUAGGUCCCAGUUGCCUUGUUUAAAAGAUGCAACAUGGUUGCCAACUUAUUCUCCUGGCAUGUGGGGCUAGGUGCUGGCAGCUUCUGUGUGUGUGUGUGUGUGUGUGUGUGAGUGAGUGAAGUCCAAGGAUGCCCUGCCUCUGAACACACAAAAGGGUCUUUUUAUGCUUCAUCAGCUUAACAGGCAUUCAAAACACAAUGGGAGGCUACAUACGCAGCCUUUGACUGAGUCAGGCCCUCAGCCCAUCUCAUUCAGAGCUGUCUGCACUUGCUGGCAGCAGCUCUUUGGGGUCUCAGGUGCUUCCUUUCCCCCACAGUUGGACCCUUCCCUGAAGCUGUUACCAGGAUCUGCACCCAGGACUGCACACACGGGAGAUGCAGCCCCCCGCCAAUAAGAGCUAGAAGCUUGUGGGUCACAACUCCAUCCUGUUAGGCAAUCUCUGGCCAGUGCCUCUGCUUAGACACACACAGAGCAGGGUUUCAGUCUCCCAACUGCUCAACCUCCUAUGUUCCACACACACCCCACCCUCCUGGGCCCCCUUCCCCCCUUCUGCUAAGCAGGCCUCACUAUAAAUGUUGAUUGCCCCCCAGUUCUGUAGCAUGUGGCUCAUUAUGAGUCCUUUUUAAAAAUCCCAGAAUUACAAAGCACAAUAACUGAGGCAGCAAGUAGGAUGACUCUUUUUUGUGUGAGAGGCAGCCUUUUUCUCCAGCCCCUUGCUAAAGGUUGGUCGUAGGCAGUGUUCCUUCUAACAGGUGUUCCCAGAUGUUGUUCACUUCAGCUCCCACAAUCCCCAGCUGCAGUGGCUUUUGCUUGGGGAUUAUGGGAGUUGUUUUCAACAACGACUGGGAAGAGGGAACACUGAUCAAAGGAAGCUGCCAUAUACUGAGUCAGACCCAUGGUCCAUCUAGCUCAGUAUUGUCUACCCAGACUGGCAGCGGCUUCUCCAAGAUUGCAGGCAGGAGUCUCUCUCAUCCCUGUCUUGGAGAUGCUGCUGCCAGGGAGGGCACUUGGGACCUUCUGCUCUUCCCAGUCCUUGGGCUCUUGCCGAUGGCCCCCGGGGAUCAGCAGACCUUCUUCUCCACCCCUGAAUGUUGUCCUUUCCUAGGCUCUGUUCUCUCCCCCUGCUCCCCACCAUUUCCCCUCAUCUUUCUUCCUAAGCCAGAUCUACCAAUCCCAGCACUGCCAUGUCGAAGAUCUCCCGAGCAGCCAAAGCGGUGCAAAAGGUGGAUCCCGGAAGUGUGAUCCGGACGAUCAUUCGAGCAGGACAGGCUGUUCCAGGACCCCCCUUGGGGCCUGUCCUUGGGCAGUUAUGAGUGCUGUGGAAGUAUAAAAGCAUCAAGAGUGGCCUUCCAGUGAAUCAACAUUGCCUGCCUGCAACCUUGGAGAAGCCGCUGCCAGUCUGUGAAGACAAUCCUGAGCUAGAUAGACCAAUGGUCUGACUCCGGAUAUGGCAGCUUCCUAUGUUCCAGUGGGCCUGCUUGCCCUGCCCCAAGGACAGCUGGAGACACAGCUCCUGCACUAUACCUAGUACCUCUUGCACCUCUUUUAGACAGGGGCCUGCCUUGGCACCCUUUCUCCAGUGAAAUGCAGACAGAAGAUUCAUUGUGCGUUGUUUUAAUACUGACAGACCCACAGGAGCCCAUACAAGGACGACCCUCUUGUUAUAAAGAAAGGAUACUCAUUCUGCACCCUUCGGAAGCUCCAAUCAGGAAAUAUGGACAUGGGGCACCAGCAGCUAGAAGACCAUCCAUCGAGCAUCUGUUAGGAUCACAACACAGCUUUAUUGAAACACUCUUAAUACAACUGCAGAGAAGGGGGGGCAGUUCCCUUCAGCCCCACCCCAUCCUACAGACAGGGGCUCCUGCUUGAGGGCCACAUUCUGUAGAAAGGGGAGGCACUCCCUGCACCUUACACACAUGGAAGCAGUUUAUCACAGGAGGCCAAGCCCCAGCCCAGGAUGGUGAAGAGGCCCACCCAAAGGCACCACUUCCACACAGAGCAUUGGGGCGGGGGGGAGAUGCCCGCGUCACUUCCCCCACUCAGUCCGCUGUGAAUAUCCGGCUGGAGAUGUCAUCCAACAGCCAGUCGAUGCCAGCUAAGAGGUUCUCUCCUGUGAAAGCGCUGCAGCUUUGGAUGCACCAAUGGUGGCUGUGAAUACUUUCGAGGUCUAAAGCCUAGAGGAAAGAAGCUUCAUUUAGGAGGGAGGGUGAGCAAGUCACCAAUUUAGGUAUUCAUUUUAUUGUUAAAUUUAUACCCUGCCUUUCAUUGAGAAAAUCCCAAGGAAUAAUCGCAUGGUUAUUCCUCUUUCUAGAACCAGGAAAAGCCUAUCCUUCUGCCAAUAAAUGCACCUUGCCCCACCCAGCCA